CACUGGGUGACUAGUUUCCACGAAUUGCUAAUGAAGUCGACGCGAAUGUUGUGAAAAAUCACUAAUUUUUCAAACUAUUUGUGGAGUUUUUUAAGUCUAUUUGGUGAUUGUGGCUUUCCUGGUGACUGUGGUGCAAGAAAGGACUCAUUAGCACAAUGCCGAAAUGCGAUCUCAAAACAAAAUACAUCCCGGCCGUGUUGGCUUGGGCGGUUUUAUUGAGCACAACUUUCGUGUUUUUCUACUAUCCUUGCCAGUACUAUGUGUCUCGAUUUCCGUGGGUGCCAGCUUAUCAGGGAGUCAUCACAUUCUUCGUGAUCGCCAACUUUACGCUGGCAUCAUUCAUGGAUCCGGGAGUGAUACCAAAAGCUCUUCCCGACGAAGACAGAGAGGAUGAAUUUCGUGCGCCACUCUACAAGAAUGCCGAUAUUAAUGGAAUCACCGUCCGGAUGAAGUGGUGUGUCACCUGUAAAUUCUACCGACCACCCAGAUGCUCUCAUUGUUCUGUGUGCAAUCAAUGUAUAGAGAAAAUGGAUCAUCACUGUCCAUGGGUCAAUUCGUGCAUAGGUCGCAGGAAUUACCGGUUUUUCUUCUUCUUCCUAAUAUCACUAUCCAUCCAUAUGUUGAGCAUCUUUACACUGUGUCUCAUUUUUGUACUGCACAAUAAGGAGAGACUGGCACAGGUGGAUGUGAUUGUUGCCCUCGUGCUUAUUGCCAUAAUCAUUGUGCUGGCAAUUCCUGUGUUUGGUCUCACGGGAUUUCACAUGGUGCUCGUAUCACGGGGACGGACAACUAAUGAACAAGUGACGGGGAAAUUUAAAGGUGGCUACAAUCCUUUCUCCCAAGGAUGCUGGCACAAUUGCUGCUAUACUCUCUGCGGACCUCAAUAUCCCAGCUUGAUGAAGCCGCACAAAUAUGCAGCGAGGCGAUCGAAUAAGGAGAAUCAGAUGAUCAGUACAAUAACGAGCGAUGGUCAGGCAAGAGGCGGUGGUGGUGGCCAGGGUGCUAGCGGCGCAGGAUCGCUGCAACAGCAACAGCAGCACCUCUAUGAGAGGGAUAAUCGACAUACACAGGUAAAAACCUAUACGGACCAUGGAAAUGGGCAUGGGAUGCGUUCUGGUGGAACUACACAGUACAGCAAGUUGUCACCCGGAAGGGAGUGCUCAGACACGGAUAUGGAGCCGCAGGCGUCACAAAGUCAAGAUUGCGAACCGACACCACCGCUACAGAGACACGGAUCCAAAAGCAAUUUCUUCCUUCCGCCCAUUGAUGGUGGGGAAUCCCCUCGACACAUUAGGAUGUAUCAUCCACGGCAUAGUCCCCAUCCCAGACAGAGGGGGCUUGAUCCAUCACGAGGCUAUACACCGGAUAGCUUGUCGCCGGAACAACAACCGGGACAGAUGAUGGCGGGGAUGCAAAUGCAACCGGUGAGUCAGCAACAGCAGCAGCAGCAGCAACAAAUGGGGCCACGAGGGACGUCUGCCACACCAACGAUGCAACAACGAAUAAAGGCAUUGGGGGUUGCAACCCCUUUAGCUAUGUCUAGUCCAGUGAGGAGAUCAAAUCCGGGUACACCAACCCAGCCCCGUCGUCCUGAUUUUAUCAGUGUGAAUUCCUCAAUGUCCAAUCAAGUGGGCGCCACAUACUAUGACUUCCCGAUGCAACAGCAGCCGCCACACCAUCAGAGUCUUCCGCCGCCGCCCGUGACGCAGCAGCAGUCCUAUCAGAUGGUCCAGCAGCACCACAAUAAUGGCCAAAUACGUGCACAGCCAGUAUAUGGGAGUCCACAGAGGAGAUUCCUCUCUGAGGGUGAGCUUGUGCGACAGGGGGCUGAGCUCUCAUAUGCUCGCACAAAUAAUACUGUGGAUAAUAUUCGCGAGUUGGCGGGAAGUCCACAAAGGGGAGUCUACAUGUGGAAGGAUACAAGUCCAGGGUAUGGCAACUCAUCGAAUCCACCUGGAUUCCCAGGUGUUCAGGCGACACAGAUGAAUAUGCUGAGGCAGCAACAGAGUAACCAGCAAAUGAUGCAAAUGGAGCAUCAUCGAUCGAAUCCAACAAGCCCGACGCAGCAGCAACAGAUGCAGUAUGCAUCUGGGCAGAGGUAUCCACAGACAAUGCCAAAUAACAUUCAACCCACUUCCGGUGGCUACCAUCCAGCACUACGGGGUGGUGUUCCUGUUUUCCCGCCACAGCCAUCGCCGCAGGUGAAGCGAAAAGCCACCCCAACGCGCCCAAUGUCCUUUGUGCGUGCCCUCGAGAUGACGGACGCCAUGGAGAUGGCCCAGAAUACGAGUGAUAUUCAGCAGCAGCAACCAAAUCAAAAUGCAAGUAGAAACAAUGGACCCAUCCCCCAUACGGGCAAUCAGCAGCGCUCAACAACACCCACACCCGAUCGCGCAAGUGUCUACGAUAUGAAUUAUGAGAUCUCUGUAUAACACAACGUACCGGGGCGAUCUUAUCACGGCACAACCACCAGCGUUCCCAGUGGCAGCCAAAUGCCAGCAUGUGAAUUCACGACAUUUGGCUACACUAAGAAGAAGUACUAAACAUCCUCGUCCCUUUCCCUUCUCGCAUCAACCAUUUAUGUGUGAAAACAAUGUGCACCUGUUGUUGACCUCCUAGAUAGAACCUUUAGGCAAUAUACAGUGUUUAAUUUUUUUUAAAUAAUAAUUUAUACAAUUUAGAUAAACAAAAAAAAAGAUAAAUGUAAAUGAUGGCAAAAUUGUAUAUGUAAUUAAUUAUAUAAUUUUUAUAAAAUCGGGAGAAUAUGUGGGUAAAUCGCGAAAAAUGCUAUAUAGGCAGAAGAUGAAGAAGAAAUUGUAGAUUAAUUGAAUAGUUUAAAAAAAAGAAAUAAUUCUGCAUUUAAAUGUGAAAAAAGGGAGAAAAUAAUUAUUAUAAAAAGAUGUAUUUAAGGUGGGAAAUUUUCUCAUAAAAAAGGGGAAUGAGAACUUCGAUAGAAAUUUAUUGUAUACCCACUUUGUGGAUUUUUUUUUGAAGAAUACUUUAUAUGAAGAAGAAGAAAAAGUAGGUAGAAAAUCACAGUGAAGAACAAUUUGUAGGAAAAUUAAUUUGCUGAUGAGAAGGUAAAGAAAAGUGAAGAAAACAAAAGGGGGUAAAAAUUAAACGUAUAGCAUUUUCGUGUUUGUUAACACUGAUUGUUUUAUAUGGAUUCGUGACUACUUAAUUAACACACUACAUGUGAAAGAGGAGAGAACGAAAAAUGUAAGCAAAAGAGCGUUAAAAAGUGAAGAAGGUUUUUAGUGAUUUUAUUUUUUUAGGGUGCAUAGGGGAAAGAAGGAAAAUUUUUAAUAAACCUAUUAAUAAUAUCUUUUUUUUUAAAAUAAUAUAUUAGUAUAAUCAAAUGACUGACAUCACAAUUUAUGUGACGAGUGUGAGGGAUUUUUUUUCUCUGAUAAAUAGGGAAUGAAGAAGUAAGAAUAUGGGUUAAAAAGGAAAUUGAGGAAAAUGCGAAUUUCUUAGAAUCCAAUACAUAAUACCGAAAAAUCACAUUUUUCUCUCAUACUAAUAGAGAAAAAAUAAAAUCAUUCUUCAUAGAACACGGUUCAGAUUGUUCUUUUUUUUUUAAUUUUCUUUAUUUGAACAAUAUUUUUAUUUUACAACAUAAAAAUAUUUUUUAGACGCUCAUAUAGAAUAUAAUAGAAUUUAUAUUUUCAUCAUUCCGUUAAUAAAAUGCAAAUUACAACUCUGAAAUUAAAAAAAAUACGGCAGCAACAUAAACACAACUAAAACUGUAAUGAAUUGAACGAAUUAAUAUUGAUAAAAACAAAGUAAAUUUAACAUGAUUUUAGAUAAGCUUUUUUAGUCAUUUUUUGACAAAAGCUUCUCUCGCAAAGGACUUAACUUUCAAGUCUAAAAGGGAAUGCAAAAUAGAUGAAAUAAAAUCGUAAAAAAUAACAGAAUUUUUUUCUUUGAUAAAAUAUUCGUUUUUGUAAAUAUACAUAUAUUAAAGAAAAAUUAAUUAAUUCCAUCCUUAAUUUCUUUAUUGAAUUCGUUCUUAAUGAAAUCAAUUAAAAUAUUGGAAAAAUUCUAAUUCUAAAAUAUUUCUCAUUGUUUUUUUUUUUCAAAUUAAAAAUAUUCUCUAACUAAAACAAAAAGAACUAAAAAGCAUACAAAGCUUGAAUCUUUGAAUGCUUUUUAGUUAAAAUUUUUCUAGUCUUAUUCUUUGAGAUGAUGUUAAAGUGGAUGAUGAAUGUGGUUAUUUUAUGUCACUAAAAAAAUUAAUUUGUUUGUAAUAUUAUAUCUUAUGAUUUUGUUGAAAAAUAAAGAAACAAAAGGUAAAACAGAUACAGACCUCAUUAAAAAUAUAUUCCUUAUCCGCCCUCCAAAGUUAGAAAAUCUAUAUAGGCAUUCACAUAAUUGAUAUUUUUCAUUUUUUAUUCUUUUGUUGUUACAAAGAUUUAUUUUCUUUUGUGUAAAUAAAAAAAAAUCACACGAGCACUAAUAAAAAAGUAUAUUAGGAUUUAUAUAAAAUUAAAAGUGACUUUAAGUGGAAAUAACAUUAAAAAAAAAUUAUAGAGAAUAGUUGAAAAUUUUUCUCGUGAAUUUUUGUUGUUUGUUGUGCUUCAAAAUGAGAAAAAGGGAAAUAUUGUUAAAGAGAAGAUUUCGCAAGAAAAAGAAAAAUAAGAAAUGCGAGAAUAUUCACUGCCACUUUGUGUGUUUGGAAGAAGAAGAAGAACAAGAAUGUGUAAUGGAGAUGAAAAUGUAAUCACGUGAGGAAAAGGCAAAGAGUAGAGUCAGACAAAAUCGUAAAUCAUUGCGCCCAAAAAAUUCUCCCAAUUUCUGCCAACACACAAAAUGUGAAAAAAAAUGUAAAAGAAACCAAGAAAAAAAUUCAUGAAAAUAAAUGUACAAGUUAAGCAAAUUGAAGUCUUAGUAAAUCAUUAAUUUUUUCCAUCCCAAACAGAGUACACGACUAACUAAAUGGAUUUAUUAAACAAAAAAAAAUAUAAAAGGAAUAAACUUAGAAAUUAAAGUCAUUUUAUGAAUCAUCUCAUGAAUAUUCUCUUGUAAAUAUUUUUCCCAAAACUAAAUGUUAUUUUCCACACAAAAAAAAUCUCCUUUUUUGUAUAAAGAUGAAAUCAUUAUAAAGAAUAUACAAUAUACAUUAUAGGAUAUUUAUUGAAAGAAAAUUUCAUUGAAAUACACCGAAAGGGAGUGGAUAAGAUUUAUGAUUAUAAUAUUAAAAAGAAAGAAAAAGAAAAUGAAAACACAACCCCAAUUUUAAACAAUUUUCACAAAAAAAAAUCAUUAACUAAGUGUAAAUUAACAUUUCAAUAAAUCAUUGAUGAAAAGAUCUA